AGAGGGUGCAAGCGUUAAUCGGAAUUACUGGGCGUAUAGGGUGCGUAGGUGGUUUGUUAAGUCAGGCGUGAAAUCCUCGGGCUCAACCUGGGAACUGCGCUUGAUACUGGCAGACUCGAGUGUGGUAGAGGAUAGUGGAAUUCCCGGUGUAGCGGUGAAAUGCGUAGAUAUCGGGAGGAACAUCAGUGGCGAAGGCGGCUAUCUGGACUAACACUGACACUGAGGCACGAAAGCGUGGGUAGCAAACAGGAUUAGAUACCCUGGUAGUCCACGCCCUAAACGAUGGGUACUAGACGUCGGGAAGCUUGUCUUCUUGGUGUCGCAGCUAACGCAAUAAGUACCCCGCCUGGGGAGUACGGUCGCAAGAUUA
rnacentral:rRNA from 1 species